GAUGAAGAACGUAGCGAAAUGCGAUACGUAAUGUGAAUUGCAGAAUUCAGUGAGUCAUCGAAUCUUUGAACGCACAUUGCGCCCUGUGGUAUUCCGCAGGGCAUGCCUGUUCGAGCGUCAUUUCAACCCUCAAGCCCCGCUUGGUGUUGGGCCCCGCCCGCCGUGGCCGGCCCUAAAGACAGUGGCGGCGCCGCCUGGCCCUCAGCGUAGUACAGCUCUCGCUCCAGGGUCCGGCGGCCGCCUGCCAGAACCCCCCAACUCUGUGGUUGACCUCGGAUCAGGUAGGGAUACCCGCUGAACUUAAGCAUAUCAAUAAGCGGAGGA
rnacentral:misc_RNA from 1 species